UGUGUUCACUAUUAGCAAAUAAUGCCGUAUGGUAUUAAAAUGUAAAGCGUAUGCAACCAUUAUUAUCUCGAAAAGAAUCGUUGAUUAUUUUCUUUAGACGAUUUUUCAAUUAUGAGGUAUGGGGUAAAGCAUGUAUACAGGGUUCAAAGAUCAAAAGUUUUGAGGAAAUAGCAAGAUUUUAGAUAUCACGCCUUAUGGCGGUAGAGGCUGAGUGAAGUAUUUAUCUUCAUUUAAUGUACCCUUGAAAACGACACAUUGUUGUAAUUCUAAAAUUCUCAACAUAGACUUCAACUUCUGUCCAGCAGCAGAUAUGACAUUCUAGAUACAACAGAUUGAGCACACAUUUACCUUUCUAUUUCUAAUUUAAAAACGCUACAAUUUUGCAUGCUGUUGAAUAUCUUAAAACAUGACAGAUAAAUAUAACCACACGCAUGAAAAUAAUUUACUCUUAAGACUAACAUUGAUACACAAUGUAUUUUCCCGACACAAUAUCAUUUUGGACUAGUUGGAUUACACUUUACAAGACUACCACAACUAGCCAUUUUCCGGAAAACAAUCUUGGCCAAAAGUAAAAAUUUAUUAAACCACAAAAAUAUACCUUUUUUAAAAGAAAUACACAAAAGAACAACAACAUAUGAUCAUAACUCACAAAUUGUUAAUAAUUAAAUACAAUUUACAAAAUCUCAUCGUAACGUGAUAGGUGGUAACUCUAGAUAAUGAAGCUGAUUGACAGAAAUGAAGUUUUCGUAAGAAAACAAGGGGGAAGUGAUUUUUUCAUUUUUAGAUUUUGACAAUUCUAUUUUAAAUUGCCCAUCCAAAUUUACAUGCAGUAUCAUGUAGUAAUAUUUUUUCCUCACAAAUAUCAAAUACCAUAUGUUUGUCUCGUUUCAAAAAUAAAUGCGUUAAAUUUUAUCUAAAACAAACU
rnacentral:lncRNA from 1 species